rfam:Heligmosomoides polygyrus genome assembly, scaffold: HPBE_scaffold0003278
GCCCCGGUGGUGUAAGGCGAACAUCGCUGCCCGGAAAGCAGAAGAUGCGGGUUCGAGUCCCGCCUGGCGCA